GGCCAUGAAAGAAUACUUGAAAUAUUGAUAAGGAAUGGUGCAAAUGUAAAUAUCAAAGACCAGAAUGGUUGGGCGGCACUAAGCAAAGCAGCAUAUUAUGGUCAUAAAAAGAUAACUGAAUCACUCAUCAAACAUGGUGCGGACGUCAAUGCCCAAGACAACGAAGGAUCGAUACCGAAUCAUAGAGCUGCUGAGUAUAACCAUAGUGAAGUUGUUGAAAUUCUCCUGAGAAAUGGCGCAAAUACAAAUAUUAGAAAUCGAUACGGAAAAACUCCGAAGAAAGUGAUUUGAAUAUAUUUCGAUUUCAAAAAUCUCUUUCUACACAAAAUUGACCAUUGUGAAA